AUUGAACGCUGGCGGAAUGCUUUACACAUGCAAGUCGAACGGUAGAGGGGGCAACCCCUCGAGAGUGGCGAACGGGUGAGUAAUAUAUCGGAACGUGCCCAGUCGUGGGGGAUAACGUAGCGAAAGUUACGCCAAUACCGAAUACGAUCUAAGGAUGAAAGCGGGGGAUCUCAAGACCUCGCGCGAUUGGAGCGGCCGAUAUCAGAUUAGGUAGUUGGUGGGGUAAAGGCUCACCAAGCCAACGAUCUGUAGCUGGUCUGAGAGGACGACCAGCCACACUGGAACUGAGACACGGUCCAGACUCCUACGGGAGGCAGCAGUGGGGAAUUUUGGACAAUGGACGCAAGUCUGAUCCAGCCAUUCCGCGUGCAGGAUGAAGGCCCUCGGGUUGUAAACUGCUUUUGUACGGAACGAAAAGGUCUCUCUUAAUACGGGGGACUCAUGACGGUACCGUAAGAAUAAGCACCGGCUAACUACGUGCCAGCCGCCGCCGUAA
rnacentral:rRNA from 1 species